AGCCACAUUUGGCCUUGAGGUGCCUCCUGGUCUUGAAAACCGGUAUGGCGGGUGACCGUCAUCGUGGGUUCGAAUCCCACGCCCU
rnacentral:tRNA from 1 species